rnacentral:rRNA from 1 species
CCUACGGGAGGCCGCAGUGAGGAAUAUUGGUCAAUGGACGCAAGUCUGAACCAGCCAUGCCGCGUGCAGGAUGACGGCUCUAUGAGUUGUACACUGCUUUUGUCCGAGGGUCAUAUCAGAUCCGUGUGUCUGCUUGCACGUAUCGUACGAAUAAGGAUCGGCUCAGUCCGUGCCAGCAGCCGCGGUAAUACGGAGGAUCCAAGCGUUAUCCGGAUUUAUUUGGUUUACAUGGUGCUUAGGCGGUUUUAUAAGUUAGAGGUGAAACUUCGGGGCUCAACUCCGGACGUGCCUCUAAUAAUGUAUGACUAGAGAAUAGAUGCGGUAGGCGGAAUGUAUGGUGUAGCGGUGAAAUGCGUAGAGAUCAUACAGAACACCGAUUGCGAAGGCAGCUUAACAAACUAUAUCUGACGUUGAGGCACGAAAGCGUGGGGAGCAAACAGGAUUAGAUACCCCUGUAGUC